GUGAUUAUAGUUCAGUUGGUUAGAGCGUCAGAUUGUGGUUCUGAAUGUCGUGGGUUCGAGUCCCACUAAUCACCCCA
rnacentral:tRNA from 1 species